rnacentral:lncRNA from 1 species
UGUCAUCUCACAUAGCCAUUUUCAUUGUGUGCAACAGAAACAGCUAAAAUAUAUCUAUUUAACAAAAACCUCCAAUACAAUUCACUUUUAUUAACUUUAUUCCUCAUAUUGUGCUUAAUCUGCAGGUCUCUCUCGUCAGAGUUUCUGUUGACUGUGCUGUCCAUGACCAGGAAAAGUCUUGUCCUGCAUUUGCUCACUUCAGGUGGAGUGCGAUGGCAUGACUCGGCUCACUGCAACCGCCACCUUCUGGGUUCAAGCGAUUCUCCUGCCUCAGCCUCCCGAGUAACUGGGACUACAGAUGCGCACCACCACACCUGCCAAAUUUUUGUUUUUUCACUAGAAAAGGGGUUUCACCAAGUUGGUCAGGCUUCGUCUCUUGACCUUGUGAUCUGCCGGCCUCGGCCUCCCAAAGUGCUAGGAUUACAGGUGUGAGCCCCCACGCCCAUCCUAUGUUCUGUAAUUUUCUAUAUUGACCUUAUUUUAAACUUAUAGGAACAAUUUCAUUGACCUGAUUUUCAUAUCCUGUUAGACUACUCAGUGAGACUCAAGGUGCUGGUGACGAUUCUUUAACUUUCUC